CCUACGGGAGGCAGCAGUGGGGAAUAUUGGACAAUGGACCAAAAGUCUGAUCCAGCAAUUCUGUGUGCACGAUGAAGGUCUUCGGAUCGUAAAGUGCUUUCAGGUGGGAAGAAAAAAAUGACGGUACCACCAGAAGAAGCGACGGCUAAAUACGUGCCAGCAGCCGCGGUAAUACGUAUGUCGCAAGCGUUAUCCGGAAUUAUUGGGCGUAAAGCGCGUCUAGGCGGCCUUUUAAGUCUGAUGUGAAAAUGCGGGGCUCAACUCCGUAUUGCGUUGGAAACUGGAAGGCUAGAGUAUCAGAGAGGUGGGCGGAACUACAAGUGUAGAGGUGAAAUUCGUAGAUAUUUGUAGGAAUGCCGAUUGGGAAGCCAGCUCACUGGAUGAAUACUGACGCUGAAGCGCGAAAGCGUGGGGAGCAAACGGGAUUAGAUACCCCGGUAGUCCACGCCGCAAACGAUGAUCACUAAGUGUGGGGGGUCGAACCUCCGUGCUCAAGCUAACGCGAUAAGUGAUCCGCCUGGGGAGUACGCACGCAAGUGUGAAACUCAAAGGAAUUGACGGA
rnacentral:rRNA from 1 species